rnacentral:rRNA from 1 species
AUACAGGGGGUGCGAGCGUUAAUCGGAAUUACUGGGCGUAAAGAGUAUGUAGGCGGUUGCUUAAGUCAGAUGUGAAAGCCCCGGGCUCAACCUGGGAACUGCAUUUGAAACUGAGUGACUAGAGUUUAAGAGAGGGGAGUAGAAUUCCGGGUGUAGCGGUGAAAUGCGUAGAGAUCCGGAGGAAUACCAGUGGCGAAGGCGGCUCCCUGGCUUAAAACUGACGCUGGGGUACGAAAGCGUGGGUAGCAAACAGGAUUAGAAACCCUAGUAGUCC